ensembl:lncRNA
UUUUUGCAUUUUGGUUUAUAACUUCUCUCAGUUUUCUCUCCAACCUCUACCACACAUUGUAAUUGAGGAAGCUAAGUGAUGUAGUGGAUAGAGUGCUGGACUUAGAGUCUGAAAGUCCUGAGUUUGAUUCCUACCUCAGACAUUUACUAACUGUAUGACCUUGGGUGGAAGCGGAAGGCUGCAGAAUGCUGAGUGGAGAGGCUGGAGAGGGGGAAGAGAGCCCAAUAUUAUAUGACUUCAAAGGGGUUUUUUACUCAGGAGAUGUUUAUAAAACAUGUGGAAUAAUUGACUUCCUGCCUUCGCUUCCCCAUAUUCUUACAUGGAAGAAAAGGAAUUUUUUACAUAGGGAUAUUGCAUCCCCAAAUAGACUAGAAGCUCCUUGAAGCCUGAAAUACAUUUUUAGUGAACGGCGAUGAAGACAAAGGAAAAUCCAAAAGAGAGGAAAUAUAAAUGGAAAUAGAGUGGAGAUGUAAGGUUUAAAUGGGAAGAAAAUAUGUUUGCUUGGGCUAGCAGGAAAUAAUAGAGCAGGAUUAUAUUCAGGGGUUUUAAAAUUUCUAACCCUGGUGAUUCUAUUUUUACUUUUUGGCAUUGUGGAAAAGUCACUAUUCCUAGAAAUAGCAUAAUUUCCACUUGAUUUGUUGCCCACAUAGGCCAUGUAUAUGUCAACAAAGAUUAUACAAACAUGUAUUGUUAUAUGGAGUCACUGAUAUAUAAUUGCAAUUUUGCCCACCUCUCUCUAAGGGAGAUUUUGAUUUGUGUUGAAGGGAGCUGAAGGAAUUAAGAAAGUCUCUUUUCCAAAGCUCUUGCACUAAUGUUUCUCACCAUUUUUUCCCACCACUUAGGAAAGUCUCAUGCGAAAUGCUUUAAAUUUGACUGGAAACUUAGUUUAUAGAUAGUGCUUUAUAGUCUGUGAUGUACUUAAUAUAUAUCAUAUCAUUUGAGCCUCAUAAAAGUCUAUGAAGUUAUUAUUGUUCUCAUUUCACAGAUGAGUAAACUUAGGCCAACUUCAUAUUUAGCUAUUUUGAAAGAUAUAAAACUUUCUUUUCUAUCUUUAACUUUCUUGCUAGAAGUAGGAUCUCUAAGUUAAGGGGAUGCUAGGUUACCUUUUCAGUAUACAAAUUGCCUACCUUCCAGAACAAGCCAUUUAUAGUUCCAUUGAUAGGAUACUAGUCAAUCAAUCAAGUACUAUAUUCUAAAUACUGUGCUAUUAGUGUACCUGUGUUGCUAAAAUUCUUCCAGUUUUGACUAUUUCAUUUCUUGUCAUCUUUGUGAAUUUGAUGAAUGUGAAGUAAAACCAUGGAAUUGUUUUGAUUCAUAUUUCUUUUAAAAUAAUCUUUCAAGUGGUUAAUACUUUGCAAUUCUUUUGAGAACUAUUUGUUCACA